CUCACUUCGGGGGCUCCUGGGGACAGGUGACCUCCCAGCAUUGUCAGGGCUCCUCUCUCAGGCCCAGAUUUUGGGCUGCUGAUAAGCAAAUACUGGCAGCACAGCCCUCAGAGAAGCACCGCAGCAGCCUUAUUGUUGUAACAAUAAUGGAGAUGAUGUCUACUAGUGAAGAGGUACAUGACCUUCUCUGCCUACACUGGGCAAUUUCCAUGUGAGCUGGUUCCCAUCCUGUGUGAGCCAGGGUGGUAUGCCUCAGCUCAUCUGUUCUGCCUCUUUUCCUUGCUGUUCCUUUCUCCUACUCCAGUUUUCUUUGUGUUUUGCCCUAGAUGAUAGCUGACUGCAUGUCUACAAAACUGCAAAGAGGCAGAAGGUUCUGAAAAUGACAUCCAGGCACCAUGAAAUUACAGUCUUCAGAGCAUAUCACACUUCAGAUUUUUUUAAGAAAGCCACAAAAAAUUCAACUAGAAGAGCAACGUGUGACUAUUUGGAGAGACUUUCUGUAAAUCUCUGCUUGUUUGUCAUGAGGAAAAAAGAAAUGCCAAAUAACAUCCAUGGUCAAUUUCCUACUAUUAGGACUCCAUGGGUAUAUAUCUCCUUGGGUUGGACACUUCUGUUCAAGAGACUGGAUAAUCUUUCCUUUGGUUCACCAGAAAAGAAUCACUCUGCUACCUUGGUUUUGAAGUUCUCACAUGAGUGACAUAAAAGGCAAAACAAAUGAUAUACCCAGAGAAUCUGGAGGUUGGAUGUGAGCUGUUGGACACAGCAUCUGAUGAGCUCCACCACAGUGAUGCGUGGGAAGACAGAUGCCCAGGGCUUUCCUUCUAUCCCAUGUCCCUCCCAUGGGAAAUAUAGGGGGUUUGGAGCUGCUUAUUUGUUUGUCCUCUGCCACCAAGGAAACAGAACUGGAUGGAUUGCUCUCAUUUGAAUUUUUCUUUAUGGAGUCAUUUUCCACUUAGCAAACAAAAUCGCGGUGACAUUUUCAUGCAGUGUUAAACUGUAAAAUAUUCGCCUUUCUCAGCCUGUUCAUGAGCCUGUCUUUUCCCACUCUCUGUGACACGUAGCAUAAAAGAAAAAUGUAGUUAAAAUUCGAACAAAAAACAUUUUACAUUUGCGUUACAAAUCUGUACUAACUUUCAGGUACUAUACACCAGAGCCAGCAUGUGAAAUGUAAAUUUCAAGUGAUGUGGAUGAUUUUUUAAAAAAAUCCAGUGGUUUAUCUGUGUAGUCCUUGACAUCAUGUUUUAAAGCAAUGUUCUUCUAGUUGUUCAGCUCCUAAUCUGAGUCACACUACAUAUUGAUAGUUUAUAUAUUAAUUGUUAUUAUAAAUACAUUUACAGUCACUAAAGCAUAUAGAUUUCCAUCUGAUUCACAUAUGCACACCCAUACAUAUUUGUUAGUCACCCUCUGUGUUUAAGUCACAGCCAGAAAAAUGAAAUGCAGAGAACAAUGUGGUUAAUGUAUAUCAGGCCUAAGGAAAGCUGAAACGGACUGUAUUACUCAAGAGUCUAAUCAAAAUAUGAAAGUUCUGCAUCAUAGUCUUGCAAAUAUAUUUUCUUCUUCCUAGCAGAGAACUAGUAUUACAAAAAACAUAGUAAGAAAAAAUUAUACAAUAAAAUAUGUCUGUAUAUGUGAGUGUCUAUGCAUAUUUUUCUGAUAAUUUCUUUAGCAUUUUUACCAUUAUUUUUUGUGUGCUCUGGUGUCACAUAACAUAGGUAUUCAUUACCAGUUUUGAAAAUGAGGCCAACUUAUGUUCAUAAAGAAACUUGACGGUGCUUGUAUCUGAUAUUUCAAAUGGGAGGAGUGUGCCAAGAUGUAAAUGUUGGUAAUAGGGUGAACAGGAAGGUGAAUGCAAUGCUUGCAUUGUCAAGACUGGCUAUGGUAACAAGUCAGCAUUUGUAAAAACCUGUUGAAUUUGCAUGAGAGAACAGUGUACAAAGAAAAGUGUGAUUAGUACUGUGUACUUUUCUCCUUCCAGUUCCCAAGGAGAUACCGUCUUUCUUCAGUUAACUGCUCCAUCUGGGCCAUAAAUUGCCCGAGAGACCAACACUGGUUUGAGGCAACAGUAGGUCCGAAGUGGGUGAACAAUUUCUUAGGAUCCCACUGGGGGGCGAAGUUUAAAGGUUUGAAAGAUGUUGAAGUUCUGAACAAGACAGAAAUCUUAAUCCUUGGUUGAUUCAGCUUAUGCUUUUGUUACUGCAGCCCAUCUGCUAAAGAAUAUAAUUAAUGAUAAUUUUUCCCUACAUUUAACUGUUCAUAAUGUAGACUGUUUGGGACAAAGCUUUCUUCAUAUGUUCAUGUACAGUCUUGGAUAUUGAUUAGAGUAAUAGCCUGGAGAGACAAUUAUUAUGUAAAUAGUAAUAUUCAAAGAAAAUACUGCCACAUGGGAAGCACUAAUUUCAUGAUCAUUGGCAGUAUGGUGGUAGUAUAACAUGAAUUAUGAAGAGUGGUUUAACAAGAAAAAUCAAAGUUAAUAACAUACAUAAUAGCAGAGAACAUGAUUUAGGAGAGUUGAUGUGUUUCAGAGGGUCACACACAGAUGCAUUUUAUUUAUUUAUGCAAGAGUUUUCACUACAUACAAUGCUAGUUAAUAAUCACUUGUAGUAAUAGGAUUAAAACCUGACAGAAAUCGGACCAAGUGAGUUUUAAGCCAUAUUAGUGGUGGCAUUUCCCCCCUCAGAUUUCUGACUAACGAGGCAGAAGGGUAGCAUGGAUUUGUAAUUGUUUGCACGCAUUUGCGAUUAUGUCUGCUCUCUUGGAGAGAAGGAGACACUGUACAGCAAGUCAAUCCAAAAAGGGGAAAAGAUGAAAAAAGAAGGGGGCAGUAGAUAUUAGCAGUGCCUGUUGACAUUGUCAUUAAAUGUUAUUACUGACUUCAUUUAGAGUGAGAGUAACUAUCAUUAAACCACUAUUCAUUAAAUCUCUUGGGCAUAUGUAGAACUUCAAAGAGAGAUACCAUAAACACUUUAGGCAUGUAUGUCCAGUUUAACCAUCUGUUUAGUGCAAUCCAAUUGUCUGCAAUCUGUCUCACCAAAAUUUGAAAUUAAAGUGAAAAAAUUUUAAAUACAGCAAAACGUAAUUUUUUUUUGUUUUGUAAUUAAUUAAAGGAUUG